GACGAACGCUGGCGGCGUGCUUAACACAUGCAAGUCGAACGGAAAGGCCCUGCUUGCAGGGUACUCGAGUGGCGAACGGGUGAGUAACACGUGGGUGAUCUGCCCUGCACUUCGGGAUAAGCCUGGGAAACUGGGUCUAAUACCUGAUAGGAGCCACUAUUAGUGUGAUGGUUGGAAAGUUUUUUCGGUGUAGGAUGAGCUCGCGGCCUAUCAGCUUGUUGGUGGGGUAAUGGCCUACCAAGGCGGCGACGGGUAGACGGCCUGAGAGGGUGGACGGCCACAUUGGGACUGAGAGACGGCCCAGGCUGCGACGGGAGGAAGCAGUGGGGAAGACUGCACAAUGGGCGCAAGCCUGAUGCAGCGACGCCGCGUGGGGGAUGACGGCCUUCGGGUUGUAAAAUCCUUUCGCGAGGGACGAAGCUUGUUGUGACGGUACCUAGAUAAGAAGCACCGGCUAACUACGUG
rnacentral:rRNA from 1 species